rnacentral:rRNA from 1 species
UACGAAGGGGGCUAGCGUUGCUCGGAAUCACUGGGCGUAAAGCGCACGUAGGCGGAUCGUUAAGUCAGGGGUGAAAUCCUGGAGCUCAACUCCAGAACUGCCUUUGAUACUGGCGAUCUUGAGUCCGGGAGAGGUGAGUGGAACUCCGAGUGUAGAGGUGAAAUUCGUAGAUAUUCGGAAGAACACCAGUGGCGAAGGCGGCUCACUGGCCCGGUACUGACGCUGAUGUGCGAAAGCGUGGGGAGCAAACAGG